GCUCUUACCGAUGGACUUCUCUGUGAGUUUGAGGGACUGGGAACGCAGGAUUUAUUUUCUGCACACCUAUGGAAACUUAAACGAACAGUGUGGUCUAAAGGAAAGAGAAGUCGUAACAAGGCAUCGGUAGGUGAACCUGCCGAUGGAUC
rnacentral:rRNA from 1 species